rnacentral:lncRNA from 1 species
UGUUAUGCGUUUACUUUACUACAUUGGUUAGAGGUAUAGGGGGAGGGUUGAGAUCUCACAAACAUGUUUAACCCCGCCGCAUUUUUGCGUCUGUCCCAAGUCAGGAGCCUCUGGCCUUUGUUAGUCUUGUAUUAUUUUAAUUUUAGUUUCUUGUGUACAAUUUGGAAAUUAGUAUGGCGUUCAUUAUCACUGGACUAGUAUAUAUUUGUUUAGGGGC